UACGUAGGGGGCUAGCGUUGUCCGGAAUCAUUGGGCGUAAAGAGCGCGUAGGCGGCCAGAUAAGUCCGGUGUGAAAGUCAAAGGCUCAACCUUUGAAUGCCGCUGGAAACUGUCUGGCUAGAGUCCGGGAGGGGCGAGUGGAAUUCCUGGUGUAGCGGUGAAAUGCGCAGAUAUCAGGAAGAACACCUAUGGCGAAGGCAGCUCUCUGGGACGGUACUGACGCUGAGACGCGAAAGCGUGGGGAGCGAACAGG
rnacentral:rRNA from 1 species